rnacentral:rRNA from 1 species
UGGGGAAUUUUGGACAAUGGGCGAAAGCCUGAUCCAGCAAUGCCGCGUGUGUGAAGAAGGCCUUCGGGUUGUAAAGCACUUUUGUCCGGAAAGAAAUCCUUGGCUCUAAUACAGUCGGGGGAUGACGGUACCGGAAGAAUAAGCACCGGCUAACUACGUGCCAGCAGCCGCGGUAAUACGUAGGGUGCAAGCGUUAAUCGGAAUUACUGGGCGUAAAGCGUGCGCAGGCGGUUUGCUAAGACCGAUGUGAAAUCCCCGGGCUCAACCUGGGAACUGCAUUGGUGACUGGCAGGCUAGAGUAUGGCAGAGGGGGGUAGAAUUCCACGUGUAGCAGUGAAAUGCGUAGAGAUGUGGAGGAAUACCGAUGGCGAAGGCAGCCCCCUGGGCCAAUACUGACGCUCAUGCACGAAAGCGUGGGGAGCAAACAGGAUUAGAUACCCUGGCAGUCCACGCCCUAAAACGAUGUCAACUAGUUGUUGGGGAUUCAUUUCCUUAGUAACGUAGCUAACGCGUGAAGUUGACCGCCUGGGGAGUACGGUCGCAAGAUUAAAACUCAAAGGAAUUGACGGGGUCAUAGCUGUUUCCU